rnacentral:rRNA from 1 species
UACGUAGGGCGCAAGCGUUGUCCGGAAUUAUUGGGCGUAAAGAGCUCGUAGGCGGUCUGUUGCGUCGGCUGUGAAAACCCGGGGCUCAACUCCGGGCCUGCAGCCGAUACGGGCAGACUAGAGUUCGGCAGGGGAGACUGGAAUUCCUGGUGUAGCGGUGAAAUGCGCAGAUAUCAGGAGGAACACCGGUGGCGAAGGCGGAUCUCUGGGCCAUUACUGACGCUGAGGAGCGAAAGCGUGGGGAGCGAACAGG